UACGAAGGGUGCAAACGUUGCUCGGAAUUAUUGGGCGUAAAGCGCACGUAGGCGGCUUAGCAAGUUGGAUGUGAAAUCCCUCGGCUCAACCAAGGAAGUGCAUCCAAGACUGCUGAGCUUGAAUACUUAAGAGGAUCGCGGAAUUCCCGGUGUAGAGGUGAAAUUCGUAGAUAUCGGGAGGAACACCAGUGGCGAAGGCGGCGAUCUGGGCAGAUAUUGACGCUGAGGUGCGAAAGCGUGGGGAGCAAACAGG
rnacentral:rRNA from 1 species